rnacentral:rRNA from 1 species
UAUGGUUGUGUGCCAGCAGCCGCGGUAAUACGUAUGGUGCAAGCGUUAUCCGGAUUUACUGGGUGUAAAGGGAGCGCAGGCGGAAGGCUAAGUCUGAUGUGAAAGCCCGGGGCUCAACCCCGGUACUGCAUUGGAAACUGGUCAUCUAGAGUGUCGGAGGGGUAAGUGGAAUUCCUAGUGUAGCGGUGAAAUGCGUAGAUAUUAGGAGGAACACCAGUGGCGAAGGCGGCUUACUGGACGAUAACUGACGCUGAGGCUCGAAAGCGUGGGGAGCAAACAGG